ACAAGAGGGAAGGGUGGGACCUCAGUCUAAAAGCAGCGAUGAGGAUACUUCAUGUAGUUGUAGCGUUCGCAGCUAUUCAGACCGCAUUAUCAACUGAUUUUUUGCCAAUAUACGUCCAUACUGCCACCUGGUUUGUGAAAGGUGAACUUCCGCCGAACGACCUCGAACAAUUUCUUGGCCUAGAUCAACAGCAAAAGCCAGACUUGAUCGUGGUCACAUUGCAAGGUCUGAACCAUAGCACCAGCAAAACGGCGUUCAAGUCAGUGCAGAACCAGUGGUCCAGUGCGAUUGGCACUAAAUUGUUAAGGAGUGGGUUUGUUCAGAUCACGGCUGUUGUUAGUGGAACGCUCGGUAAUUUUAUAUACCAGAUCGACAAGUACAAAACAUUUCAUAUUCGGGACAUAUUAAAUUCGACGGCAUUAUCAGUAGAUGAGAAUCCGGUACCGAGUGCUCUUGUAACCACAAUCGGUUGGUUCGGCCGCCGGAUCACGAUCGUCAACACAAAAUUUACAGGAAAGGAGAGUGAAGUCGAAACCAGAUUCUGGGAGUUCUACUACAUCGACAUGUCGAGAGGCUUGUACUUCAACGACCACGUUUUCUGGAUGGGAAGACUGAACUUCAGGGUGGACAAAAAGGCCGCCGAUGCUAAGAAGCUCAUCGAUGCGAACAAGUUGGACGAUUUGCUCGCUCACGACCAACUGAAGAAAGGACAACGUUCUUAUGACGUGUUCAUCGACUGGAAAGAACAGAAGAUCAAUUUCAAACCGACUUACAAGUUCCACCAGAAUUCAGAUGAAUACAAUUUGGACAAGACGCCAUCUUGGCCGGACAGGAUAUUAUACAAAACGGAGGGAAAUCGUACUUUAGACGAAUUGAAAUAUCAAAGCUUGAAUUACAAGCAGUUCAGUCAAAGGCCUGUCAUGGCUCAAUUCUCUUUCAAUCAGCCAUUGAAACGGAAAUAAUAAUAAAAUUAUUAUUUUAAAGAAAUAAAAUAUGUGUUUCUCGAUUUAUAUACAAAUAAAUUUACGUCGUGGCAACGGUGAAAUAACAAAGAUAGGACAGAUAACAACCUGGGCGAGCACAGACCGGUAUUUUCUCACCAAUACAUCCAAAUAUUUGAGAUUUCUCGAGGCAUGCCAUGUCUGAACCCGCAGCUUGGGCGUUUCCAAUCUGCCUAACCACACCACUGAUAAUUCUCUCAUCAAAAUGAUCGGAAACGACUCAUGCACAAUAAUGCUUAACUUUUAAAAUUAUCAUUGUUAUCGCACUGUUUCAAUAAACUUUAUUAAAAGUUGA